AGCCCAUUCAUUUCCAGGGCCUAGCACCAACAAUCCUAGGAUGUGGGGCUUCUCACAUCAGGACUCCCCUUCUGAACUGAGGCUCCAGCCUGGGUGGGAGGAGGAUGGAGGGGCUUCUGCCUACUCAUGGCAUCCUUCCCCUCCCCUCCUUUCCCCUUCUCCCUGCCUGGCCUCUCCCCCAUCCACCUCUCUGUGUAUCCAGGGCUCAUGGGAAUGCCUUUGCCUCUCUCAACAGGCCUCUCUCAGCCCUGAGGGCUGGCAGAGAGGAGGUCCUUUUUGGCCCCAGGUGACUCUUAACUCCCAGGACAGAGGUGAGCCCUAAUAAGGGGGUUUGGGAAAUUGGGUCCUGGGAGGAUUUGGAAUUUGGAGUGGGGACAAAGAUCAUUCUUGGAUCCAUGGUUGCCAUUAAUGGGUCCCAUUAUAUUGUGUUUAAGCCAGACAGACUUGGGGUUAAAUCCUGCCUCUUUAAAAU
rnacentral:lncRNA from 10 species